AGGGGUUAUAUGAUUAUGAAUCUCAUGAAAGCACCAGAAGAACUACAAAUUUGAUGCAUAAACAAAAAAUGGAGUAGCAAAAAGACCAUGGCAAAUGUUACUAGAGAUUACCUCAAGUCUAUUGUGGGCGUUGACACGAAACAAUGCUUUAAAGAUAUGACCCCUAUGCAGAACAACAGAAACGUAUCAUCAAACUCUCAUUCAACGACACAUUCUUUUAAUUACUUCAUUUACCAAUAUACAAGUAUUCAAGCAAGUUACGAGGCUGACCUCUAGUGCUUUAUGAACAGCUUCUGCUGGCCAAUGUGGAGCAAAAUAUUUCCUCUGGGGGUAAGAAGUAAUUGGCGGGUCUCCGUAUACAAUGGGAUCUGGGCAUGAACCUGAAUAUAUUUGUCCACCAACACCGGGUGAUAAUGUUAGCUGCACAGGGAAACUUUCGCUCUCCGCUGC
rnacentral:lncRNA from 1 species